UACAGAGGUCUCAAGCGUUGUUCGGAAUCACUGGGCGUAAAGGGUGCGUAGGCUGCGGAGCAAGUCUGGUGUGAAAUUUGUGAGCUCAACUCGCAACUAGCACCUGAUACUACUUUGCUAGAGAUCUGGAGAGGAGCUUGGAAUUCUCGGUGUAGCAGUGAAAUGCGUAGAUUUCGAGAAGAACGCUCGCUGCGAAAGCGAAGCUCUGGCCAGAUUCUGACGCUGAGGCACGAAGGCUAGGGGAGCAAACGGG
rnacentral:rRNA from 1 species